rnacentral:rRNA from 1 species
AACGUAGGGGGCGAGCGUUAAUCGGAUUUACUGGGCGUAAAGGGGGCGUAGGCGGCCGUGAAAGUCCGGUGUGAAAACUCACGGCUCAACCGUGGGACUGCGCUGGAAACUACACGGCUUGAGGACGGUAGAGGGAGACGGAACUGCUGGUGUAGGGGUGAAAUCCGUAGAUAUCAGCAGGAACGCCGGUGGAGAAGUCGGUCUCCUGGGCCGUUCCUGACGCUGAGGCCCGAAAGCUAGGGGAGCAAACCGG